rnacentral:tRNA from 1 species
GGGCGGUUAGCUCAGCUGGUUAGAGCGUCUGUUUUACAUACAGAAGGUCAUGGGUUCGACUCCUAUACCGCCCACAA